ACUGGAGAAGCCAGGAAGGGCACAUGUCCUUCCUCCAGGUCCCCGCAGGCAGCGAGGCCUGGCUGAGCUGUGGCGGCUGACCCGCAGGCUGCACCCUGAGAUCUCUGGGAGGACGGCUUCCGGGGCCUGUCUGUGGGGGUGAGCCUAGUCCAGGUGCCUGAUGAAGCCGGGUUCAGGAUCCUGUGAAUAAGGAAGCUGUCGAGGGUCCCCGCGGGGAGAAAGCCAGUCAGAGUCCCUGUCAGGCCGAGAGUCCAGGCCCCCCUGACCUGGGUAAGGCUGCAACAGUUGGGUCGCCAUUCUGACUGAGAAGAGCGGGGGAAACGGGGAGCACGUAGCUAAGCCACACUCGAACUCACCGAGGAGGCUGUAACGUCCAAAGGCUUUUUCUUUCGGUCCAUUGUCUCGCCAGGCCGCCCGGUCCGAAGACCUAACCUCCCAAAGGUCUCUGUCAGGCCUUAUGAGCCCGCCCCGCGGCGGAACCGGAAGUGUCUUCGUAGCGACGCUGAGUUUGCGUAAUUUCGCGACACAGAUUUACGAUCUCGGCGCCAUCUUGAAAGCGUCAAUAUGAGGUACGGAUCCGCUUCGUCGCCAUUUUGAGAAGCUCAUGCUGGCAGAAGACUGGCUGUGCUUCCAGAGGACCUGGCUUUGAUUCCCAGCACCCAUGUAGCAGCUCCCAACCAUUCAUCUGUAACCCCAGUUCCAGAGAAUCUGUACCUGUCUUGGAAAGAAUCACUUGAGAUCCACAGCACUGGUGGGAAGAGGAGGGGACCUGAGACCCAUGACUGAGAAACAGGGCCUGCCAGCAUUAAGAAAUGGCAGCACUGAGUGGCAGAGAGACCAG